rnacentral:lncRNA from 1 species
UAUUCACUAAAUUCAUUUAACAUUAAUGAUUAAAAUCAUCUAACAUUCAACAAAUAUAACAUCUUGUCCCUAACACAACAUUAAUUCAUGAUCUAAUAUCUAAAAUUGAAAGAGAAUUCAUAAGGAGCUGAACAAGAGGAGUUGGAGUCGGAACUUGAGGAGUAUUGCUAUCUUUCCCUUCUAGCACCAUCAUUGAAUCCUUAUUCUGACAAUUUAGUAUAGACUGAAAUAGAAAAUAAUUCUAAAUUAAGAAGAUUUAUUAGUAAAAACGCCAUUGAUAUUUGAUAAAAUAUUAACAAAAAAAUGAUAUUCAUCCAAAACAGCAUCUUAUGGAUCAUGAAUGAGUGAUGAGUUCAUGAAAAGACCAUAAAUGACAUGCUAAUGAGAACAUGUAAAUAAUAAAAAAUCGAUCUAAAAUAUUAUUAUGAUUUAUGAGAGUUUCUGGGUCAGAAUUAAUCUGCCCCAUUCAGAUCUCAGGUGAAUCCAGUUUCUGGCAGAGGCUAAUGCUGUCUGGAUUCAAGAUAGUUCCAUAUCAACGUCGAUUCGAAGCAGUUUGAUAAUUUAAAGGGGUUUAGAUGUAAUGUAGACACUUGUUUUUAUGUUUUUGUUUCUAAGUUAUUACGUAGAUAAUUGUUGGUGAAAACUGACAAUAUGUAGAAUUACUAUCUGGAAUGCACCAACGUCUAGAGGUGUUGGUCAAGACCCCUUGAACACCCCCAACACUCUAGCAAUCAUCUUAUGGUUUAUGAAUGCACAAAGUUACUAUCUGGAAUGCUAAGGCUUCAAAAUAAAAUAAAAGACAAUCAAUAGCAAAUCUAAAACCAAGAAACAUCCUAGAAUCCUAAGUAUAAAAAGAAUCAAACCUUAUAUNNNN